UGCAAUUCAGGCGUAGGCCCAUCUGCUU
rnacentral:piRNA from 1 species